rnacentral:rRNA from 1 species
AUACGUAGGGAGCGAGCGUUGUCCGGAAUUACUGGGUGUAAAGGGUGCGUAGGCGGGACUGCAAGUCAGAUGUGAAAUGCCGGGGCUCAACCCCGGAGCUGCAUUUGAAACUGUGGUUCUUGAGUGAGGUAGAGGUAAGCGGAAUUCCUAGUGUAGCGGUGAAAUGCGUAGAUAUUAGGAGGAACAUCGGUGGCGAAGGCGGCUUACUGGGCCUUUACUGACGCUGAGGCACGAAAGCGUGGGGAGCAAACAGGAUUAGAUGCCCUGGUAGUCCACGCUGUAAACGAGGAUUACUAGGUGUGGGGGGACUGACCCCUUCCGUGCCGCAGUUAACACAAUAAGUAAUCCACCUGGGGAGUACGGCCGCAAGGUUGAAACUCAAAGGAAUUGACGGGG